rnacentral:rRNA from 1 species
GACGGGACCCGCACAAGCGGUGGAUGAUGUGGAUUAAUUCGAUGCAACGCGAAGAACCUUACUACCCUUGACAUGUCCGGAACUUGCCAGAGAUGGCUUGGUGCCCGAAAGGGAAUCGGAACACAGGUGCUGCAUGGCUGUCGUCAGCUCGUGUCGUGAGAUGUUGGGUUAAGUCCCGCAACGAGCGCAACCCUUAUCAUUAGUUGCUACGCAAGGGCACUCUAAUGAGACUGCCGGUGACAAACCGGAGGAAGGUGGGGAUGACGUCAAGUCCUCAUGGCCCUUAUGGGUAGGGCUUCACACGUCAUACAAUGGUCGGUACAGAGGGUUGCCAAGCCGCGAGGCGGAGCCAAUCCCACAAAGCCGAUCGUAGUCCGGAUUGUUCUCUGCAACUCGAGAGCAUGAAGUCGGAAUCGCUAGUAAUCGCAGGUCAGCAUACUGCGGUGAAUACGUUCCCGGGUCUU